GAUGAACGCUGGCGGCGUGCCUAAUACAUGCAAGUCGAGCGAACGGACGAGAAGCUUGCUUCUCUGAUGUUAGCGGCAGACGGGUGAGUAACACGUGGAUAACCUACCUAUAAGACUGGGAUAACUUCGGGAAACCGGAGCUAAUACCGGAUGAUAUUUUGAACCGCAUGGUUCAAAAGUGAAAGACGGUCUUGCUGUCACUUAUAGAUGGAUCCGCGCUGCAUUAGCUAGUUGGUAAGGUAACGGCUUACCAAGGCAACGAUGCAUAGCCGACCUGAGAGGGUGAUCGGCCACACUGGAACUGAGACACGGUCCAGACUACUACGGGAGGCAGCAGUAGGGAAUCUUCCGCAAUGGGCGAAAGCCUGACGGAGCAACGCCGCGUGAGUGAUGAAGGUCUUCGGAUCGUAAAACUCUGUUAUUAGGGAAGAACAUAUGUGUAAGUAACUGUGCACAUCUUGACGGUACCUAAUCAGAAAGCCACGGCUAACUACGUG
rnacentral:rRNA from 1 species